AUACAGAGGGUGCGAGCGUUAAUCGGAGUUACUGGGCGUAAAGGGCGCGUAGGCGGUGAGAUGUGUGUGAUGUGAAAGCCCUGGGCUUAACCUAGGAAGUGCAUCGCAAACUAUCUGACUGGAGUAUAUGAGAGGGUGGCGGAAUUUCCGGUGUAGCGGUGAAAUGCGUAGAGAUCGGAAGGAACGUCAAUGGCGAAGGCAGCCACCUGGCAUAAUACUGACGCUGAGGCGCGAAAGCGUGGGGAGC
rnacentral:rRNA from 1 species